CUGAGUUUGAAAUCUUUUUUUUUUGAUUUCAUCUCCCACCCUUUGUUUACAAGACCUGUUGCUUCGGCGAGAUUGAUGAUUUUUUAUCAUCGGUUGAUUGAAAUCUCAAUGAACUUUGCUUGCCGAAGUUUUUUUACAACUCUUUUUUCUUGAUAUUCAAGUUUUCAAAAACAAAAAAAAAUCA
rnacentral:misc_RNA from 1 species